rnacentral:lncRNA from 1 species
GAUCUUCAAGAGGUAAGGGCCGAUUUUGAGCUCAUUUUAUGUUUUAAACAAGUUUUAAGUUGAUCUUUGGGGUAGAAAUGCAUGUUUAGGUUUUUAGUUGGUUUAAGGGUUAUGUUAAGUUUUUGAGCAAUGUAUGAUGCUUGUGGUUGUUUGAUGUGUUGUAGAUGGGGUUUAGGAUAGUUUGAAGCCCCUAGGAGCUGAUGUAUGUAUCUAUGUAUGUUUUGAAUGAGUUGUAUGCUUGAUCUAAAAGGUUGGGAGGCAACUGUGCAUGAGGAACCAAGUUUCUGCCCUUUGGCAGAAACCAGGUUCGGCAGCCGAAGGACUUUCGGCCGCCGAACCUGCUUGGGAGGCAAGCCUUUCGGCUGCCGAAGCCUGCCCCCGAAAGAGGACUUUCGUCUCUGGAGGGUAGUUUCGGCCGCCGAAAGUGCCGCCGAACAUGCAUGAGUUUCGUCUCUGUCUGGGAGUUUCGGCCGCCGAAGGUGCCGCCAAACCUGCCUAACUUUCGGCUCUGGAGGGACUUUCGGCCGCCGAACCUGCCGCCGAAAGUGCCCUGUUUAGCCUUCCUUUGCAUGCUUCCCAUGGAUGUUUUGAGGUGUUUUAAGGGGGUUUUUGGGGGAUGUUUUAGAGUCAUAUUCUAGUAUGUUUGGUCCCUCAUUUGAGUCCACCUUUGUAGGUUCGGACCCGAGGACCCCAGCAGUGACAACUGCUUCAGAGUCUUGUCAGAGUCAGCCAGAGGUGAGUAGAAUAAAUUCUUACGUUUUAAAUAAAUGAAAAACUUUAGCAUGAAUCAUGCAUCAUGAAUGCCAUGUGAUAUCCUAGGUUGCUUGCAUUAGAAUUCACGAAUAUGUUGCAUUGCAUAUCUUGAUGUUGAUGUGGGUGGAUAUUGGAUGACCCAUUGGUCCUCAGUAUGAUGAGACACGAUAUGAUAUGAUAUGGAAGUCCAGGUGUGGCCUGCACUACGCCCCUGGCACUAUGUAAGUGAAAGUCCGGGUGUGGCCUGCACUACGCCCCCGGCACAGUUGGACAUGUAUGUUAUGAGAUAUGUAAGAGAAAGACCAGGUGUGGCCUGCACUACGCCCCUGGCAUAGUUGGAUUAUGUAGAGGACCCUUGGUGACAAGUCCAUCCUUGAUGUGAUAUGGUUGUGAUGUGAUGCAUUACAUGAUAGCAUGUGUUUUAAUUGUUAUUAUUAUUCUGCUCACUGGGCUCUUGUAGCUCACCCCUUUCCCCUUAUCCCCCAGGUUUGCAGGUACAGGGUAGACCAGGAGGUCAGCAGGAGUAUAGUCUGUUUUUAUGUAAUAGUUAGAAGUUGUGGACAUGAUGAAAUUGAAAUGUAAUGUUUUAUGUAGUCAUGAUAUGUAAAAUGAUAUUGAGGAUUAGAGGUUGUGCUUGACCCUAUGUGUAUGGUAUUCCCUUUUUAUGCAUGAUCACUAUUAUUAACGAUGAGAUGAGUAAUCAAGCUUAAUGUAUGUUAUUGAUACCCCAUUGGAGCAUGUGAUGAGGGCUCUAGUGUGAGGUUUAUGGUUAUGUUAGUGUGCAUGCACAGGUUAAGCUUGAUUUAUGAAAUAAAAAGUUUACAUGUUUAUGUAUUUGUAUGAUCAUGUAUGGGAAUACACAGGUUUACAGGUUGUAUGUCAGGCUUGCUACAGGUCCCGACGGCCUUAAGCCGAUCUGGAUCCUAGCGCCGGUAGCGGUCCGAUUUUCGGGUCGUUACAGAAUGGUAUCAGAGCCCUAGGUUCAUAUGGUCAGACUUAGAGUGUCGGGCUCAUAGAGGUUAUAGAAGGUCAAGCACAAUAGGAAAGGUCAUGUCCACUAGGAUAGGAUGUGGAGUCCUGUCUUGUAUGAUGAUGUGAAAUGCCAUGAUUAUAUACAUGUGCAUUAAUGCUAUGAUAUGAAUAAUAUGUGUGUGAUGCGGGUUCAUGUGUGUCCACAUGAACCAUAUGAUGCUAACGUUUAUGUGAUGUGUACUGUUUUUCAGAAAACAGGAUGAGGGAAACUCGUCGAUCUGCACGAUUGGUUGGAGUGCCACCUGAGGAUGAGGGCAUGAGCGCCCGUCCUCUUGCAUUGCCUAGAGCAAUGUCUAGUAGGGCUAGCAGAGAAAGAGCAGCAAGAGACCCUAGAAGGUCUCUGGAUCUGGGUAGAAGCAGAUCAGUGAGGGGAACAGUUUAGGGAGGAAUAUCAGAGGACAUGGGGGAUGAUAUGGAUGUAGAGCAGAGGAGAGAUGGCAGUCUGGGAGUAAGCAUGUCAGAAAAGGGAAUGGGAGAGUCCCAAGGAGGCACUCAGGCCUCAGGAUUUGCUCAGCCACCCCACUACCCACACUUCUCACAAAAUCCCGGGUAUUCGAUGGGAGGUACGUCGGAUUACCCUAGCUUUACCCCUUAUCCCAUACACAUGCCAUACCCUCCCUACUACCCACCAUACCCACAGCACCCAAUGUAUCCACCCCCACCCUACUAUCCAAAUCCAGCUAACCCUACCUCAGAAAAUGUUGCACCUCCUCCACCAUCAGCAGAACCCACAGUUCCAGCAACCCAUAUGCCUAAGCCUAGCUCAUCUGGUGGGAGCAAGGUCAAGAUGACCGACUACAUGAAGCUGGGUGCUCCCCAGUUUGAAACCGGUGAUGACCCGUUUGUGUACCUUGAAAGGGUCAAAACAAUUACAGAUGAGAUAGGAGCUGAUGACAGCAGAGCCAUUCAGAUGGUUGGGUUCACACUCAAAUGCAAAAAGGCCCGUGAGUGGUUUAAGAACUAUGUGAGCCCAAGGUUGGACAGCCUAUCAUGGGAGGAGUUUGCAAAUGAAUUUGCAGGAUGGGCUUUUCCUGACAGUUCAAGAGAAUUGAAGAUGAUUGAGUUUGAACAGUUAAGGCAGACAGAGGAAAUGAGUGUAGACAAGUACACCGACAGAUUCUUGGAGCUGUUGCCGUUUGCAGGGCAAACUCUUGACACCGAUCAGAAGAAGUCAAGGAGGUAUAUCAUGAAACUUCACUCCAGGUAUUCCUCCUUGAUUCAGUCCGCAGAUAGGGAGAGCUUCCAUGCCAUAGUGGAUAUGGCUAGGAGGAUGGAGGCUAGUGCUAUCAUCGAGGGGAAAGUCAAGCAGUCAGUGGCACAGCCUUCUGGUUCUAAGACCCCAGGCUCUUCUUCUCUGAGUGUAGCAGCUUCAGGAAGUAAAAAGUGGGACAGAAGCUCUAGGAAGUCUAAGAAGAACAAGUUAUGGAAUAAGGUUAAGUCCAGUCUGGGAUUUGGUGGUGGCUCAAGCUCUGGUGCGGAUAAUGCAGUUUGUACAAGGUGUGGUAAGCCACACAAGGGAGUAUGUCGGUUUGGGACGACAGCCUGUUUUAGAUGCGGUCAUGAGGGACAUAUGGCUCGAGAGUGUCCAAGAGCAGUUCCGAUGGCUCAGUCCCAGCAGACAGCUUCUGGUAGUAUAGCACAGCCAGCAGCUCCAGCCACGACUCAGGCUAGUGGCAGAGGUAGAGGGAGAGGGGCAGCCUCUUCUUCAGCUGGUUUCAGAGGUGAAGGUCCAUCAGCUCCAGCACGGAUCUUCACAAUGACACAACAGGAGGCAGAUGCAUCUAACACCGUGGUGGCAGGUAACUUAGUCAUUGGUUGUUCAGAUGUGUAUGCCUUGAUGGACCCUGGUGCAUCUCAUUCUUUUAUUGCACCGAGAGCCGUUGAGAGGUUGGGGUUGAUGAUCUCUGGGUUAGAGUGUCCUCUCUGGGUCAGUGGACCCAAGUGUGAUCCAUCAGUGGCAGAGUCAGUCUGCCAGUGUAGUCCUGUGUUUGUUGAGGGAAGAUGCUUGUCCGCCGACCUUAUGGUUCUAGACUUGAUAGAUUUUGACGUCAUUCUAGGGAUGGACUGGUUAUCUACCCAUGGUGCUACCUUGGACUGCAGGGACAAGGUAGUCAGGUUCAGAGGUCAGGAUGGGUCAGAGGUAGUCUUCAGAGGAGACAUGAGGGGUACACCUAGAGGUCUGGUAUCAGCUCUUCAGGCUCGUAGGUUGCUUAGGAGGGGAUGUCAGGGGUAUUUGGCUCAUGUGAGGGAGCUUAGCAGUCAGGUUAGAGAGCCCGCCUCGGUGCCAGUGGUCAGAGAGUUUUCAGAUGUCUUCCCAGACGAGCUGCUAGGUUUACCACCUGCUAGGGAGAUAGAGUUCGAGAUAGAAUUGAUGCCUGAAACCCGACCGAUCUCUAUCCUCCCUACAGGAUGGCACCAGCAGAAUUGAAAGAGUUGAAAGAGCAGUUACAAGAACUGGUAGACAAGGGCUUCAUCCGACCGAGUACCUCACCCUGGGGUGCUCCAGUUUUGUUUGUGAGAAAGAAGGAUGGAUCCCUUAGACUUUGUAUCGACUACAGGCAGUUGAACAAAGUCACUACCAAGAAUAGAUACCCUUUGCCAAGGAUCGAUGAUCUAUUCGACCAGCUAGCAGGAGCGGGUUGUUUCUCCAAAAUAGAUCUGAGAUCUGGGUACCAUCAGCUGAGGAUAAGAGAGGAAGAUGUGCCAAAGAUGACUUUCAGAACCAGAUAUGGGCAUUUUGAGUUCCUUGUAAUGCCGUUCGGGUUAACCAACGCUCCUGCAGCAUUCAUGGAUCUCAUGAACAGAGUGUUUAGCCAGUACCUGGAUCACUUUGUUAUUGUCUUCAUAGAUGAUAUCUUAGUGUAUUCCAGGAAUGCAGAGGAGCAUGUCCAUCAUCUGAGGUUGGUUCUGCAGACCUUGAGGGAACACGGCUUGUAUGCCAAGUUCUCCAAGUGUGAGUUUUGGAGCAUUUCACUCUUGGGGCAUGUUGUGUCAGAAAAUGGGAUAGAGGUGGAUCCCAAGAAGAUAGAAGUUGUGGCUAACUGGCCUAGACCCACUUCAGUGUCAGAGAUCAGAAGUUUCUUGGGUUUGGCGGGUUACUACAGGAGGUUCGUUCAGGACUUCUCAAAAAUUGCAGCUCCUCUGACCAGACUAACCAGGAAAAAUCAGAAGUUUGUGUGGGCCGACCAGUGCGAAGAGAGUUUUGAAGAGCUUAAGAAGAGGUUAACGUCGGCACCAGUGUUAGCUUUGCCAACUAGCAAUGAGGACUUCACAGUGUGAUGCAUCCCGAGUGGGUUUGGGUUGUGUGUUAAUGCAGAAUGAAAGGGUGAUUGCUUAUGCUUCUAGACAGCUGAAGAAGCAUGAGUUGAAUUACCCCACACAUGACCUGGAGAUGGCAGCAGUAAUCUUUGCACUCAAGAUGUGGAGGCACUACCUCUAUGGGGUUAAAUGUGAGAUCUUUACAGAUCAUAAGAGCCUGCAGUACAUCCUGAGUCAAAGAGAUUUGAACUUGAGAUAGAGAAGAUGGGUAAAGCUGCUGAGUGACUAUGAUUGCAAGAUUCAGUACCAUCCGGGUAAGGCGAAUGUUGUGGCAGACGCCCUAAGCCGGAAGUCACUAGGCAGUCUAUCCCACAUAUCGGCAGAGAGGAGACCAGUAGUGAAGGAGUUUUACAAGCUCGUUGAUGAAGGUCUUCAGUUGGAGUUGUCUGGUACAGGUGCUUUAGUUGCCCAGAUAAGAGUGGCACCCGUGUUUCUGAAGCAGGUGGCUCAGAAACAGCAUGAGGACCCAGAGUUAGUGAAGAUUGCCAGGACUGUUCAGUCAGGCAAGGAUAGUGAGUUCAGAUUCGACAACAAGGGGAUCCUCCGCUAUGGGAGUCGAUUGUGUGUACCAGAUGACAUAGGGCUAAAGGGAGACAUUAUGAGAGAGGCUCAUAAUGCAAGAUACAGCGUUCACCCCGGAGCCACCAAAAUGUAUCAAGAUCUGAAGAAAGUUUAUUGGUGGCCAACUAUGAAGAGAGAAGUGGCACAGUUUGUGUCAGCCUGCGAAUUGUGUCAGAGGGUGAAGCUGGAACAUCAGAAGCCGGCUGGAAUGCUUAACCCGCUACCUAUUCCAGAGUGGAAAUGGGAAAAUAUAGCUAUGGACUUCGUAGUGGGGUUACCGGCGACGUCCAACAGAUUGGACUCCAUAUGGGUGAUUGUGGACAGACUCACCAAAUCUGCUCACUUCAUCCCUGUCAGGAGUGGCUAUUCUGUGGACAAGUUAGCGCAGGUGUAUGUCGAUGAGAUCGUCAGGCUGCAUGUGGUUCCUGUUUCAAUAGUGUCCGAUAGAGGACCCCAAUUCACCUCCAGAUUUUGGUGGAGUCUGCAGAAUGCCAUGGGUACCAGGUUGGAUUUUAGCACUGCUUUCCAUCCGCAGACGGACGGACAAUCAGAAAGGACCAUCCAGACCAUAGAGGAUAUGCUCAGAAUGUGUGUGCUGGACUUUGGCGGUUCUUGGAGGCAGCAUCUACCUUUGCCUACAAUAACAGUCAUCAUGCUAGCAUCGGGAUGGCUCCAUAUGAAGCUUUAUAUGGAGGAAGUGCAGAUCACCUGUUUGCUGGGAAGAGGUUGGAGAAAAGGCCUUGGCAGGGCCUGAGCUAGUAGAGAUCACUAGCAGGGUGGUACCCAUAAUCAGAGAAAGGAUCAAGACUGCUGCAAGCAUACAUAAGAGUUAUGCAGAUAUCCGCAGAAGACAAGUAGAGUUUCAGGAGGGGGAUAUGGUAUUGCUCAAGGUGUCUCCUAUGAAAGGAGUGGUUCGCUUUGGGAAGAAAGGUAAACUAGCCCCACGAUACAUCGAACCCUUUGAAAUCUUGCAAAAGAUUGGGAAUGUGUCGUACAAGCUGGAUUUACCUGCUUCAAUGGAAAGAAUCCAUCCGGUUUUCCAUGUUUCAAUGUUGAGAAAGUUUGUGUCAGAUCCGGGUAAGGUUCUUAGUGAGCCUGAUGUGGAGAUCCAAGAGGAUCUCACCUAUAUUGAACAGCCAGUACGGAUCAUAGACACCCAGAUCAAAAAGCUAAGGAACAAGGAAAUCCCGAUGGUGAAAGUCCUUUGGAACCACCACAAUAUGGAAGAAUGCACCUGGGAGACACGGGAGUCUAUGCUCCAGCAGUACCCUCAUCUCUUUUAAGGUUAGAUCUCUAUGUGUUUAUGUGCUAUGUAUGUAUGUUAUAUUGAUUGCUGUGCUUGUGCUAGUUGGGGAACAUUCGGGGACGAAUGUUCUUAAGGGGGAGAGAAUGUAAUACCCGGCUAGACUCCGGUAUCAGAAUUCCUACCGUCCGGUGGAAUCUCGGAUGUCGGAAGCCUCUAGUAGGGUAGAAACAUGUUUUCAUAAAAUGUUUUAAUGUAUUUUAUGGUUUUAAUCAAGUAAGAAAUGAGUUUUUUUGCAUGAAAAUAAUCUUGGAGGAAGACCCAGGUUCGGCCGCCGAACCUCAAGUUCGGCCGCCGAACAUGCAUGCACUUCGGGAGAGCCUUAGGCCCCCAAAGGCAUAAGUGAGGGAAGUCCAGGUUCGGCCGCCGAACCUCAUGUUCGGCUGCCGAACUUGCAUGCGUUGCGGAGGCACGUUCAGCUCCCGAAUGUGGCCUGGCCAGCCACCUAUAAAGGGGUCCCUUAGCCAAAAACGGGCGAGUUUUUCUCCCCAUUUUCGGCCAAGGUGAGCUCUCCGCCGUCCCUCACCGAUCUUGAGUUUCUUCCUUCCAUUCUUCAUGAUUUUUAUGAGUUUUCACCUUCGUUUUGAAGAUUUUCGAGUAUAAAGCAAGUUUUGAAGCUUUGAGGUUCAUGAAGCUCAAUCUCUCCCAUCUCCGAGCUAGGGUCGUUCUCCUCUCGAUCUUCAAGAGGUAAGGGCCGAUCUUGAGCUCAUUUUAUGUUUUAAACAAGUUUUAAGUUGAUCUUUGGGGUAGAAAUGCAUGUUUAGAUUUUUAGUUGGUUUAAGGGUUAUGUUAAGUUUUUGAGCAAUGUAUGAUGCUUGUGGUCGUUUGAUGUGUUGUAGAUGGGGUUUAGGAUAGUUUGAAGCCCCUAGGAGCUGAUGUAUGUAUCUAUGUAUGUUUUGAGUGAGUUGUAUGCUUGAUCUAAAAGGUUGGGAGACAACUGUGCAUGAGGAAC